rnacentral:rRNA from 1 species
GUGGCGAGUGGCGAACGGGGUGAGUAAUAUAUCGGGAACGUGCCCCAGUCGUGGGGGGAUAACGCCAGCGAAAGCUGUGCUAAUACCGCAUACGAUCUACGGAUGAAAGCGGGGGAUCGCAAGACCUCGCGCGAUUGGAGCGGCCGAUAUCAGAUUAGGUUGUUGGUGGGGUAAAAGCCCACCAAGCCGACGAUCUGUAGCUGGUCUGAGAGGACGACCAGCCACACUGGAACUGAGACACGGUCCAGACUCCUACGGGAGGCAGCAGUGGGGAAUUUUGGACAAUGGGCGCAAGCCUGAUCCAGCAAUGCCGCGUGCAGGAUGAAGGCCUUCGGGUUGUAAACUGCUUUUGUACGGAACGAAACGGUCUGCUCUAAUACAGCGGGCUAAUGACGGUACCGUAAGAAUAAGCACCGGCUAACUACGUGCCAGCAGCCGCGGUAAUACGUAGGGUGCGAGCGUUAAUCGGAAUUACUGGGCGUAAAGCGUGCGCAGGCGGUUAUAUAAGACAGAUGUGAAAUCCCCGGGCUCAACCUGGGACCUGCAUUUGUGACUGUAUAGCUAGAGUGCGGCAGAGGGGGAUGGAAUUCCGCGUGUAGCAGUGAAAUGCGUAGAUAUGCGGAGGAACACCGAUGGCGAAGGCA